GCCAGCGCGCGCGGGGGGGGGGGGUCUGGGGCGCGCUCCCGGGCACCUGAGCCAGCCUGGCGGGUGGGACACUGGAGGGGGACAGUGGCGAGGGAAGGGGCACAAGUCUGGUUACGGGGGUGGGGCAGGCCGGGAUUUGGGGGCUUCUCGUGGGCUGGGAGAACUCGAGAGCCGGCGUCGCCCCGGGGUCCCCACCCACCCGGACUCUGCCCCGCGCAGCCCGGGAAGCCUGGCCUGGGCGCUGUCCGGCGGGCGCACCACGUGCUUCUCAGCCAAUCGCCCCAGCGCCGGAUUCAAAGCGUGCGCUUCAAAGACUGCCUCGCCGCCGCCUUGCGGUAGCGGGAAAGCCCCGUCAUCCCUCACACUCGGCCCUUCCUGCGUUUUAUGGCUUGAUGGAAAAGCUCAGCAUACACACGUUUGAUGCCCCGUGUGUCAGGCGGAAAGGAAGGUUAUUUUGUUUUUUUCAACCUUUGCACUAAGGCCCUGUCUCUCCACUGGGAGCUAAAAUGCCCGUUUGGGGUUUUAUUCGUAUUUGGGAUAAAGUCCAUGAAAGAACUGUAGCGAUUACCGGUCCAGCCCCUUGUUUCACAGCGCGGAGUCCUGGCUCCAGCGAGCUUCACAAAGCCAGAGAGGCCCGAUAAGUUCAAGGAAUGUGUCCUUCUCACUCCAGUCACCAAAUCUACCAGGAACCAUCCUCGAUGACCCUAAAUAGGAAUGGCAUGUGGACGGUGCAUGUAGCUCAGUUGGUUGGCGGGGAGUCUUGCCACUGGAAGCCCACAGUGGGGACAGGGAUCGAUCGAACUCGGGCCCUUGCGCUUUUGAGGCAGGCGGCAGAAUCUCUGAGCUAAAUCCCCAGCCCUCUAAGGUGAUUCUUAUCACCCCACCUGCUGGAAGAUAAGGUAAGUCCUGAACAGAAGGAAGCCUUUUGCAGGGCUGUGGUCAAACUGGACAACAAUAGACAUAGAUGUCUGAGUCACAGACAGCUCGGGAAAUGCUACCUCUCUGUAUUGUACAACCCCCCCGGGAGCCUGUCUCUGCCUCUGCCUUGUGACACCACACCAAGGUUUCAGUCUUUAAUGCUAUUAAGAAGCUGCACCCAAGGCUUUGGCCUUGUUAUCUCCUCUACGUUACUUUGUUAGGCUGCAAAAUAAACAGCAUGGGGUUAAAUGUAUUAGCUGUCUUCAAACCUAAUUUAUCUUCAUUUCUUCCUCAUUUACACUUGGGCUGAAUUAAUGAGAAUGAUUUAAUUAACAUGGUGCGAUGCUGGUAGUGGAGACAAGAAGGCUCAAAGGAUUAAACCAAACCAUGGGCCAAGCAGCUGCCAUCCUGCCUCCUGCUGUCUCCCAAAGCCCCACCCAAAUUUCAGACAGGUUCCCUGCUGUCGCUGUAUUCCAACAGCACCCUCUUUAUUCUUUGAUCCACUUCCUGGAUCUGUGUGAGGAAAAGGGCACAGCUUUCCUUCCUUGGUUACUCCCUAGGUAGCUUUGAGGCCCUGCCCUGUAGAAUCCAUGUGGCAGAGGGGGCAAGUGGCACCAAAGAUUUGUGCUCCUCUUUCCAGGCCAUCAAGUCCAUGGUGAGACGUGAAUCUCCUGGCCCCUUAUAAAUUGGGAUUGACACCUAUGGAAGGGAAAGAGGAAAUAGGAUAGGCAGAGGGAGAGGUUAAGCUGGGUUGCUUGCAGUCUCUGCUGUGGCUUCAGCCAGCCCCUGGGGGCCUCUGGAGCUGAACUGACCCAGAAGAGUUGUCCUAGUGAAGAUAAGAAGGCCACAUUAUCCAGUGACUGAAUGCAGACUGCCCAAGGAAGGAACUGUGGCCUGGAGCACAGUGGCACAUUUCUGUAGAGGCAGUUGUGAAGGACACUGGCAAUCAAAGGCCUUCUGCCACCAGCGCCUCCAGCAGCUGGAAGAACCAAACCUUUGUUCCCAAGGAAGAACUGAGGGGCUCAGCACUGUGCCCACCUCCACGACUGGCACAGAUCUAGGGGCCUAGGAAGUGAAACCUCGGCUCCUGUCAGUGUUUCUCUUAUUUUCAAAAAGAGAGGGAAAGGAUCUGGCUGUUAAAGAGGCAAGGAUAAGGAAAAAGAUCACCAGUGCAAGAAGUGAUCAGCCUUCUGUCAGUAAUCAUUUUUCUUGCUGGAGAAGAGCAAGGGGUCUAAAUUGACAAUUAAGUUUUCUAAGAUUUGGUGUGCCGUCUUCUGCAUUUACACCCUUUUUAUUUAUUUAUUUUUAGUACUGGGGAUCAAACUCAGGACCUUGCACUUUCGAGGCAGGCGCAGGUACCACUAAGCUAAAUCCCCAGCCCUAUUUACACCCUUUUAAAAUCAUCGUGUUUGCGUUAAGUAUCUGUUAUGAUAAACCUAGGAAAUAUUCCUAGGAUUGGAUCCAAAUUCAUUUGGUCAUAUUUUAAAAUUUCAGUUGCUUCUUACAUCUAUUAUAUGUACCAACUCAUGUGUAUUCUGUAAAUUAAAUUGAUUAUAGUAUGA